rnacentral:lncRNA from 1 species
AGAAAUCCCAAAUUGAUCAAGGGAUGAACAUCAUUUGAUCAAUACCAUUCAUUCAUUUUGGGGGAUGAAAUUCAAACUUCAUCAACCCCCUAAAUCUAAUGGUUUUGAUCAAAUUGAAGUCCAGUUCAACCAAGAUCGAGGCCAAACAGAAGAUGAGUCAAUACAAAGUCAACCAAAUAGCUCAACAUAAUAAUAAAGC